AUUACAGAUGAUAAAACAUUUUAUUCAACACUUUCCACUACAUUGUUAUCCACAGAUGCUCCAACCACAGCUGCUGACAAUACGGCUGGGCAAACUGAAGCCAAGAACAAUGAGAGUGAAACUUAUCUAACAGUAGUAGUGAUGACAACAGUAGUGUCUCUGUGUGUCCUCAUAUCACUGACCAUCUGUGUCAUUCUUUAUUUCCAAAAACAAAGUCACAAAACCAACAGUCAAAUUGAUUUGAACUGCCAGACUACCGUAUAUUAUGCAAACAUUUCAGCAGGUAAGUGAUAUUCAUAGUAAGCCCU